CACACACACACACGCUCCUGCUUGUGGCAGACAGACAGGCACAACAAGUGAGUAUCGCUAGACUAUUGACCAUUUUAUGAAGUGAAUACAUCGAAUUAACUGUCGGGGCAGUCUACAUGGUAGCAGACGUUUGGUUGAAUGACACGCGGUCAAACUAACUUUUCUUAAGAGAAGACUUGACCCGAUGCCAGAGAGUCUUCUCUGUUGUCUGCAUUCAUCUGUUACUACACUUUUAUUCUCUCUCUCUCUCUCUCUCUCUCUCUCUCUCUCUCUCUCUCUCUCUCUCUCUCUCUCUCUCUCUCUCUCUCUCUCAUUUCUUAGCAUCCAUCUCGGCUCUCUUUCUGCACCAUCCACUCCUCAGCCCAUCCACCUCUCGAGUGCGGAUUGCUUGAGCCUCUGUCGCCCCAUGGAGAUAGCUGUAGAUGGCUGAGCAGCUCGUCACAGGCUGGUUUCGGAUUGUUGCCGGCUCCUUGGAGAUAGAGGAAUGCAAAUCUGCAAUCAUGAUGGAAGGAUUGAAAAAGCGUACCAGGAAGGCCUUCGGGAUACGGAAGAAAGAGAAAGACAAUGACUCCACGGGGUCACCAGACAGAGAUGAACCCCAAGAGAUUGAAUCGCCACAGAAAAAGACCAAUGGGGCGCCUAACGGCUUCUGUGGGGAAAUCGACUGGGAGCGAUAUAACUCCCCUGAGGUGGACGAUGAAGGUUACAGCCUCAGGCCCGAAGACGAAGCUGCACCAUCCCCGAAACCCAAGACAACACAUUUCUUCUCCUCGAGCGAGUCAGAGGGAGAGGAAGAUCAUCGACCAAAGUUCAAGAUCAAGAUCAAGCCGCUGGCAGCAGACAAAGCUGAAUAUGCGGCCCCCUCGGUAGAUGAACUAAAAGCCUCCAUAGGCAACAUAGCUCUGUCUCCCUCUCCUAUGCGGAGCAGUCCGAGACGUAGUCCGGGUCUAUUGAAAAGAAAUACAUCUAGUGAGGAAAUUGCCAGACCAAGACGUGCUGUUCCCACGGUGACGCCUGCCCCAGCUGCUGCCCCAGAGGCGACCCCCUCCUCAUCUCCUGCCCCUAUCCCUCCCCCAGAGCCACCCAGCAGCAAGAGACCCUCAGUACCAGAGGAUGCUACAGCCUUAUUUGGGCCUCCACUGGACACAGCCUUUGAUGAAAUCAAAAGUGAAGCGGUGAUAGAUGAGUCUGAGGUGUGGGGUGCACCCGUAUCCAACUCAAAUGCGGACUCCUCUCUGCCCAGACCCUUUCCCACAGGAACACCACCUCCACUCCCUCCCAAGAAUGUGCCGACCUCCCCCCCUCCGUGUGGCUCUCCCCCAGCUGACGCUACCGAUGUGUCGAGAGAGGAGGACGAGGGGUCCCGGAAGCCGUCCAUUGCAGAUCUAGACAACAUCUUCGGCCCAGAAGAUGGCUCUCAGUCUGGGGAAGAGGUCGCAGACAAGUGGGUCUGUUUCAGCGACGAGACGCCCAACAUGCCUCCUCCACCUGGGGAACCUGCGCCACCUCUCCCCAAAUCCCCACCUCCUCCUGAUGAGCCGGCCCCGCCCUUACCCACCUCCCCUCCCCCCGCCUCAGAUCCCACUCCUCCACCCUUGCCCAUCUCCCCUCCCCCAGCAGAGGAGCCCUGCCCACAGUCACCUCCACCUGUCCAAUCACCUCCACAGGAGACUGCCCCUCCCCUUCCCGCAGCUCAAACCCCACCCAAAGACACUGCUCCUGCUGCAGUCCCACCUCCACCAGAGGACCCGGCGCCUCCUCCUCCACCACCUGAGGAUAUAGUCCCUCUCUCUUCUCCUUCUCCUCCUCCUCCUCCUCCUCCAUCUGCAGAAUCUCCACCCUUAAAAUCCCCCCCUGGCCUUCCGCCGGACCCUUUUCUAGAGGCGGGGUUGGACUCUGCGACGAGCCCCCCGGACACGGCUGCGCGUACAAUCCCACCGCCCCUCGUCCUGAGCCAGGAGGAGCUCAAGAGUCCGGAGGGGAACCAACAGAAAGACGAGCUGACGGAGACGAGUGCUUCGCCCAAAGAUGCCGGCCAGGCCAGCCGUGCCACCCCUCCCCCGCCCCCACCCCCUACAUACCGGGCAGUGGUGUCGUCCCCCGGGCCCUGCCCUCCAGCUGCAGGCACCGGCAGUGGUUCCUCCUCUCCUGCCCGUCCUGCCACGCCUUCGGGCACCACCAGUAGCCCCACACCGCCCCCUCCCCCUCCACGCCCCCCUUCACGUCCCAAACUGCCCCCAGGGAAACCCAGCGUGGGCGAUGUGAGUCGCCCAUUCAGUCCCCCUAUACACUCCUCCAGCCCCCCACCCAUGGCCCCUCUGGCGCGGGCCGAGAGCACCUCCUCUAUCUCCUCCACCAACUCGCUGAGUGCCGCCACCACCCCUACCGUCGGUAAAGAGCUCUCCGUGUCUGUGUCAGAAGAUGACGCUUAUGUAGACAAACUGCCCAGCUUUGAGAGGCGUGUCGACCUGCCGGCAGAGAAUGACCAGCCCUCCCUCGUAUGGUUUGACAGAGGCAAGUUUUAUUUGACCUUUGAAGGCUGCUCUCGAGGGCCUAGUCCACUUACUAUGGGAGCCCAGGACACACUGCCGGUGGCGGCGGCCUUCACUGAAACGGUCAACGCGUACUUCAAAGGGGCUGACCCCAGCAAGUGUGUGGUGAAGAUCACAGGAGAGAUGGUGCUGUCAUUCCCGGCAGGGAUCACCCGGCACUUUGCCAAUAACCCCUCACCUGCCGUGCUCACCUUCAGCAUCAGCAACUACAGCCGGCUGGAGCACGUCCUGCCCAACCCCCAGCUUCUGUGCUGUGACACCACGCAAUCCAAUCCCAACUCCAAGGAGUUCUGGGUGAACAUGCCAAACCUGAUGACUCACCUGAAGAAGGUGGCCGAGCAAAAGCCACAGGCCACCUACUACAACGUGGACAUGCUGAAGUAUCAGGUGUCGGCACAAGGCCUCCAGUCCACUCCUUUGAGCUUGGCCUCUAACUGGCGCUGUGAGCCCACCAGCACAGACCUCAGAAUAGACUACAAAUACAACGGAGACGCCAUGACCACGGCCGUCGCCCUUAACAACGUCCAGUUCCUCAUCCCAGUGGACGGAGGCGUCAGCAAGCUGCAAGCAGUGCUUCCACCUGCUGCCUGGAAUGCCGAGCAGCAGAGAAUCCUGUGGAAGAUUCCAGAUAUUUCUCUCAAGUCUGAGAAUGGAGGUGUGGGGUCCCUGUUGGCCAGGUUCCAGUUGACUGAGGGUCCUAGUAAGCCGGCUCCGCUGGCUGUGCAGUUCACUAGUGAGGGCAGCAACCUCUCUGGCUGCGACAUCAAACUUGUGGGUCCUGGGUACCGCUUCUCCCUCAUCAAGAAGAGGUUUGCUGCAGGAAAAUAUUUGGCCGAGUAAACACUACUGAUCUAGACAAUGGAGAUUCACUUCUCUGGACUGAACAAGUAAAAAAAAAAAAUGAAAACGGGAAAAGAAAAAUGACAAGAAAAACCCCACACAAGGACAGACUACCAUAGCAACUCCCUACACUGUAAGAAACUCCCUUUCUAUACAUACAAGAAACUGGACAGUUCUAUUGUGUUGUAUAACUUGCAUAUAGAAUUGUUGGCCGUUUUAGGGUGUACUACUUCUUGUAUUUGUAAACUGUAUUAAUUUCAGAACAUCCAUAUUGCAGCAGUUAGACCCUCUCUGGUUUCCCCUCCUUUGCAGUUAGACUGUGUUCUGUCAAACGUGUAGUGUUUCUCCGACCCUCUUACUGUGGCUGCCUGACAACUCCACAUGAAUCAGCAAGCUGGAUGCCCAGCCAGUGAGUGUUCAUUCAGUUGUAGAGACCUGCAGUUUGCAAGACCUUUCAUUUUUGUUCAUCACUGUGACAAUAAUCCAGUAAAAUGUGACGGCAAGGAAUCAUAUUGGUGGUGUCACUAUCCAGCAAAGAAAAGAGUUGUUCUACUAAUAGUUAGCAUCUCAUACAGUCAAUACAGUCUCAAAUGCAAUCAGCAACAGGCUGAAUACAGUCAAUACAGUCUCAAAUGCAGUCAGCAACAGGCUGAAUACAGUCAAUACACUCUCAAAUGCAAUCAGCAACAGGCUGAAUAGCCUUUCUCACAUGUUCUGGACAAUAGUAUAUGACACAUUUUUGUUUAAUUCAUAACUAAUUGAUACAUAUUUAUAUUUAAGGGACAGAUUUUCUGAUUUCAUCGAGUAGAUAACGAUAUGAUCCAGAGAUGUUGGUAUAAUCGUUUGUUUGUGUUACCACAAUGGCAUAGAGAUUUAAUUGAAUCAUUUCUGUUGGUUUGUCUUCAUGGUUAGCUGAACUGAACUGAGUACUCAGGCAGCUACAGUUAUGAACAAAGUCCUGCUUGCAAUAUUUACAAAAGAAAAAACAUUUUCCCAUGAAAACGUUCAAGUGUCAUUUUAAAUUGAUAAUGUAUAUCUUAAAGGCGUUUGGUGUUUUUGUUGUAUUGUUAAAUAGCCUUUCUGUUGUUCUUGAAACAGCAGUGUUAGACUUCAGAGUACAUGACAGCAUUCUAUUUUUAUUUAUUGACGAUUCUAAUUUGUUGUAAAAAAAAUAAAUAUGUGAACUGUAUAUGAAUAGACUUUGAAUGGUAUCAGGAUGUAGGGUCCUUAAAGUUAUAAAUAACUGAUUUUUUUUGUUAUCUGUGUAGUUGGGUAAACUGUGUACAGUGUAAUGCUGAGCUAUAAUUUUUAACUUUAUUUCAGAUAUAAUUUUUUAACUCAAGUGCAACAGAAGAUUUGAGCUAUAUAAAUAUAUAUAAAAAUAUAUAUAUGGGUGGGGGUUAAAAAAAAAAAAAAAACACAAGGAAUAAAAAAAAAAAAACAUGAUCUACCUGAAUGAAUCAUGCUUUUUGAAAGCAGUGUUGCAUCCAGUAGAAGUGCACUGUUAGCAAUGACGAGGAUUGUCUGCUGUUUGACAUGGCGAGCGCUUUGACCAUCCACGCUGACGUGUUUGUCCCCAGCUCCCCCCCCCCUCCCUGUGCAUUCUAUCCAUCAGCUGGAGCAUGAGCCCCGAUCAAAACCCACCCCGUGCUUGAACCCAUGGCUUUACUUUGCAUACAGUAAUGGUCUCUGUGAGAUGACAAGAGUAAGGUUUGGGGGAACGGUUUGGAUGACCAAAUUUCUUUUUUUUUUUUUUGUAUUUAAUGCUAUGUGUGUACUCUGGGAAAGCCUGUGAAAGGAAUUUAAGUUUGAGUAUUUUUAAAAAAUGUUAAAAUGACAAAGAGAAAAGGAAUAUUGUUUUAUGUGCGAACAAAAUAUCCCACUGUGCUACUGUUGGACUUCCCAGUUGCUCUGCUAUUUCAUACUGAGAACAAACAUCAGUGACAUUUACUUUUGGAAGUCUGCUGCAGACGUGACGACGGUUUAAAAAAGAACAUGGUGCUUCAUAAUGCUACAUAGCAACCUUCAUAGGCUAAAAGUCGAAACAGAGUGUGACAUUGCUACACAUUUACAUAUUCUCUGAUCCUCCUGUGUUGUUUGGUCUCUCCAAAACUAGUGCUAACCAUAUAAUUUAAAGAAGACCUAAUGUGUGGUUUGUACCUAUGAAUGGUGUUAUGCAGUUCUAUGUGGCAGAUGCUGAAGCUAUGUAUGUCUCCACUGUCCAAAGUGAAAUGUUUCCCUGAUGAGCUGAAGAGAAAUAGAGCUUUAUGUUGUGUUAGUUGAGUGUGAGAGGAAGUGUGUAUGCGUGUGUCUGAGAGGAAGUGUGUGUGUGUGUGUGUGUGUGUGUGUGUGUGUGGGUUGUGGCGGGUUCGGGUUUGUGCUGUAACAGAAUGCUGUAGACCUCUUCCCAACAAAAUAUGCUGUGUUUGUAUAAACCAUGUGAACGAUGAACAGAGAUACUAGUUUGCUCUUCCCAAACCAAUAAAAGUUCUGAGGUGGACAUACAUUUGGUGCACUCGUUUUGCUCACACACAUACAUCCUGUCAUUUUGGACAUUCGUUCUGUCUUACUGUCAUGCUUGGAAUGAUUUAAUACCCAUCACUUUUUUGUACAUAAAACAACUAAAUUCACCAUUUUCAAUAACAAUCUCUAGGAUUCCCAUGCGGUUUGGCUGCUCUUACAAAUUAAAAAUGGUUAAAACCAUCAGCCAUUAGCACUUAGAGCAAUUUGAAUAUUCAUAUUUGUGUACAACAGAGACAAAGGGAGCCAUUCAGGUUCUGUAAACAAUUGGAGUAUACUUUGGAGUAUACAAUUGGAGUAUGGAGAAUACUUAAUUGACAUUGUUUUCUCUGCUUUUAAAAAUCUACAGGUGUUUCUUCAGUCAAUAUGGUUACUGAACAAAUGCUAUAAUCCAUUAAUAUGCCCUGACUUGAUUUAUGGCCAGAAUAGCUGCUACACACAGCAUAGCGUUCUCUCCCCUUCUCCAUGGUAAUCAUCAUAUCCAUAGCAGAGAUACUAAAUAUGCAAACGUUUCAUGCAAUGCAUUUGAAUGUCCCAUAUUCUUUUCUUUUCUUUGUUUCUUUUAUAAAAAAGAUGCAAACUGACCCCUACUAAUUGCUGUUCUUGAAGAUGUUAUGUGAAUUUUCUUGGUAAUAAAGUAAGGAAUACAAAAUU